rnacentral:rRNA from 1 species
AUUGAACGCUGGCGGCAUGCCUUACACAUGCAAGUCGAACGGUAACGGGCCUUCGGGUGCCGACGAGUGGCGAACGGGUGAGUAAUGUAUCGGAACGUACCUUUCAGUGGGGGAUAACGUAGCGAAAGUUACGCUAAUACCGCAUAUUCUGUGAGCAGGAAAGCAGGGGAUCGCAAGACCUUGCGCUGAUUGAGCGGCCGAUAUCAGAUUAGCUAGUUGGGUGAGGUAAAGGCUCACCAAGGCGACGAUCUGUAGCGGGUCUGAGAGGAUGAUCCGCCGCAGGGGAACUAAGACACGGUGCAGAUUCUGGCGGGAGUAGGCAAUGGGGAAUAUUGGGAUAUGGGCGGAAGGCUGAUCCAGCAAGACCGCGUGUGUGAAGAAGGCCUUCGAGUUGUAAAACACUUUAUCCUGGAAAGAAAAAACUUUGAUUAACACCCAAAAUCUUGACGGUACCAGGAGAAUAAGCACCGGUUAACUCUGUGCCAGCCGCCGCCGUAAAAC